rnacentral:rRNA from 1 species
UUAUUCGGUGUCGGCAGGCUCAGGGGGUUAGGGUAGUGACUACGGUGGUCGUCGUCGUUGGUACCGGCAGGAGUCUCGUAGGGGCGAGGGUGGGGUCGGAGAAGGGAGAAGGAGGAGGUGGGGGGUCAGAGUCGCCAGGGGGUCUCCGUCGUAGUGGCGGCGUCGCGACAGUUCUUGUUCGGGCGUGGGAGGAGGGGAGUUCUGGCCGACGGCGCCGUCGCGGUUCUUCUAGGAAGAACGUCCUUCUUCCGCUAAGGGGACGAAUGGGUGCUUCGUUCUCCAGCCGCGCCAUCCGCCACGCCUCCUCCUUGCUAUGGAACGCUCCCUCCGGCCAACCCCUCACGCCGCCUACCCCGCCCAGCCGCUCCUCUACGCCGCCCACCGCGAGCACGUCCGGCUCCGGAAGGUGCAGGGGCAACGCGAGAAGUUGCUGAAGAAGAAGCUAAAAAAGUUUCAUACGUAGUGUACUUUACGAAAGUAGACGUGAUCUUUACAGAUACACGGGAGCAUAAAACUAUCCGUACCACAAGGAACAUAACCGGUUCUAGUCCGUCUCCACAACCGCCGCGAGUAAAUGUUUGACUCCUUAAGCGGCGGACUGUCCAUACGCACGAACCACCGUCUUCUUCGACCACUCGGCAGCGUCAGCGUCCGUGGUAAACUCUUCUAGUAACCCCACCACCUAACGUGCCACGUCCUGCUUCCGCUGUAGGAAUCCUUGGAGGUUCCGCAGGUUCUCAUGAAGAUGCAUAGUCCUUAUCGUCACGACGGUAGUAAGUCCUCCUCCUUCCACCCGUGGCGGGACGACUUUCGCACGCUCCACAACCGAGAUCUUACCUCCGUCUCUAAGUACCGAGAAUCCCGUAUGCUCCUACUGUCGUCGCGAGCUCCUGAGAUGCGUUUCCGUCCCAUGUCCCACCACAGUUCCCUAGGACUCACCCAGUGGACCCAACCCUCCUCCUCCGCACAAGAGUACCAUUUUCUGAACGGCCAAGUACUACGAGUCUAGGUUGUCGUUACUGUACGAACAGGAUCAUCCAGGGGCAUAUAUAUACAGGGGACGAUUAUGGAACGCAGACCACAUUCUCGUAGAGGUGGGCAACGGGGCGGGUCCGCCGAGCUUUUUAGCGGCGGACUCCCGCUUGGCCGCGAUUUUUAGCCGGACCCCGCUAGACCAAGGGUCGGCUGCGGGGUCCUAGCCAGGGUCCAGGGUCCACCGACAAAAAUUUAAAAAACUUGGAUUUUAAGUCGCUUGACCUAUUUAUAAACCGCUUUGUAAAUAUAAUAACACCGCUUAACUUUAUCAAAAAAUGUAUUUAUUUC